GCUUGGAAGCAGCCAUUCAUUUAAAGAGUGCGUAACAGCUCACUAGUCGAGGAGUUCUGCGUGGAUAAUAAUCGGGCAUAAGCCGUUUACCGAAGCUGUGGAAUCGGCAACGAUUGGUAGGGGAGCAUUCCAUGAGCCGCAGAAGGUUUUCCUUGAGGAAUGCUGGAGGUGAUGGAAAAGCAAAUGUAGGUAUAAGUAACGAUAAAGAGGGCGAGAACCCCUCUCGCCGAAAGACCAAGGGUUCCUGAUCAACGCUAAUCGGAUCAGGGUAAGUCGGGCCCUAAGGCGCAGCCGAACGGCGCAGCCGAUGGCAGAAACGGUUAAUAUUCCGUUACUAUGAUACGGAGUGACGAGGAGACGGAGAAGUGACACUCUCGCCUGCUGACGGAAUAGCAGGUUGAACGGUGUAGAUAAUGACAUGGUAGGCAAAUCCGCCGUGACAGUCGAACCGGAAAGUACUGGGCGCCCCCGGGCAACCAGAUAGCAGAGGUAAUCAAGCUCCCGAGAAAAUCCCCUAAACAUAUGCGUAUCAUACCCGUACCCGAAACGGACACACGUGGUUGAGUAGAAAAUACUAAGGCGCUCGAGCGACUCACGGUUAAGGAACUAGGCAAAUUGACCCUGUAACUUCGGGACAAAGGGUCCCUCCCAGGCGGGAGGGCGCAGAGAAUAGGUCCAGGCAACUGUUUAACAAAAACACAGGGCUGUGCAAAAUUGAAAGAUGAAGUAUACAGCCUGACACCUGCCCGGUGCUGGAAGGUUAAGAGGAGAUGUCAUCGCAAGAGAAGCAUUGAAUUGAAGCCCCAGUAAACGGCGGCCGUAACUAUAACGGUCCUAAGGUAGCGAAAUUCCUUGUCGGGUAAGUUCCGACCUGCACGAAUGGUGUAAUGAUCUGGACACUGUCUCAACCGUGAACUCGGUGAAAUUGUAGUAUCGGUGAAGAUGCCGAUUACCCGCAACGGGACGGAAAGACCCCGUGAACCUUUACUGCAACUUAACAUUGAAUUUGGGUAACUGAUGUGUAGGAUAGUCCGGAGACAGAGAAAUGGAUACGCCAGUAUUCAUGGAGUCACCCUUGAAAUACGGACCUUUGGUUAUUUGAGUUCUAACCCGUGGAAAAUGGGGACACUGUUUGGUGGGUAGUUUGACUGGGGUGGUCGCCUCCAAAAGCGUAACGGAGGCUUCUAAAGGUACCCUCAGGCCGAUUGGUAACCGGCCGAAGAGUGUAAUGGCACAAGGGUGCUUGACUGAGAGACCGACAAGUCGAUCAGGUAGGAAACUAGAGCAUAGUGAUCCGGUGGUUCCGUAUGGAAGGGCCAUCGCUCAAAGGAUAAAAGGUACUCCGGGGAUAACAGGCUGAUCCCUCCCAAGAGCUCAUAUCGACGGAGUGGUUUGGCACCUCGAUGUCGGCUCGUCACAUCCUGGGGCUGGAGAAGGUCCCAAGGGUUGGGCUGUUCGCCCAUUAAAGUGGCACGCGAGCUGGGUUCAGAACGUCGUGAGACAGUUCGGUCCCUAU
rnacentral:rRNA from 1 species